UGGGCGAAAUACCUUUUAUUUGUAAAUACUUGAGGUAUACCACUUCAAUGGUGGUCAGGAAAGUAGGUGGCCACACGAAGACAUUGGAGGCAAAGCACAGUGCUGUUCCAUGGACCAGACGAUGAGGCAGAAGAGGCUUGUCGGGAUGGAAGGCGCCCACGUGGGAGGCGGCCACCUCACCCUUCUUCCGCCAUGCUCGCGCAGGUGACCCUGCACCCCGGUCAAAGCAGUCAAAGCGGCAAGCCAACGCAGUAAUGGGGGGACUGUGGAGGACCAGCGCGCGGCAUCAGACUCGCAAUGCAGAACGAGAGAAGGUGGAAAGGACCGGAGGAUAACUGCUCUAUUAGCUUCCCCUUACGAAGAUACAGAAACACGAGGAGGAGAGAGAGAGAGAAAGAGCAGCAGCAGCAGCAGCAGCAGAGGUAGAUCUCGAGAGAUCUCAAGGAAAGCGAUGGAGCUCAGACACCGUCAGAUCUGCUCGGUAUCAGAGACGUCGGGCUCUCUCUCUCUCUCUCUCUCUCUCUCUCUCUCUCUCUCUCUCU